UUGAGUUUGAUCAUGGCUCAGAUUGAACGCUGGGGGCAGGCCUAACACAUGCAAGUCGAGCGGCAGCACGAGAAAGCUUGCUUUCUUCGUGCCGAGCGGCGGACGGGUGAGUAAUACAUGGGAAUCUGCCCGAUAGUGGGGGACAACGUUUCGAAAGGAACGCUAAUACCGCAUACGUCCUACGGGAGAAAGCAGGCUUAGGCUUGCGCUAUCGGAUGAGCCCAUGUCGGAUUAGCUUGUUGGUGAGGUAAUGGCUCAYCAAGGCGACGAUCCGUAACUGGUCCUGAGAGGAUGAUCAGUCACACCGGAAUCUGAGACACGGUCCGGACUCCUACGGGAGGCAGCAGUGGGGAAUAUUGGACAAUGGGGGCAACCCUGAUCCAGCCAUGCCGCGUGUGUGAAGAAGGCCUUCGGGUUGUAAAGCACUUUCAGCGAGGAGGAAAGCAGUAAGGUUAAUACCCUUAUUGUGUGAACGUA
rnacentral:rRNA from 1 species